rnacentral:rRNA from 1 species
CGCUAGCGGCAUGCCUUACACAUGCAAGUCGAACGGCAGCGCGGGCUUCGGCCUGGCGGCGAGUGGCGAACGGGUGAGUAAUGCAUCGGAACGUACCCAGUAGCGGGGGAUAACCACGCGAAAGCGUGGCUAAUACCGCAUACGCCCUACGGGGGAAAGGGGGGGAUCGCAAGACCUCUCACUAUUGGAGCGGCCGAUGUCGGAUUAGCUAGUUGGUGGGGUAAAGGCCUACCAAGGCGACGAUCCGUAGCUGGUUUGAGAGGACGACCAGCCACACUGGGACUGAGACACGGCCCAGACUCCUACGGGAGGCAGCAGUGGGGAAUUUUGGACAAUGGGGGCAACCCUGAUCCAGCCAUGCCGCGUGUGCGAAAAAAGCCUUCGGGUUGUAAAGCACUUUUGGCGGGAAAGAAACGGCGCCGGCUAAUACCUGGCGUAACUGACGGUACCCGCAGAAUAAGCACCGGCUAACUACGUGCCAGCAGCCGCGGUAAUACGUA